rnacentral:lncRNA from 1 species
CUUCUGUUUAUAUUAUGAAACCUUUAUUAUUAAAAUAAGUUAGCAUCAUUAAAAUAAAACACUUAUCUACUUUAUAUACUCAAAUUUCUCCAUUCUUACAAUACGUGGAAAAAAAAAAAGAAAAACCAUUAGAAAGGUAAAAAAUAAAUAUAAAUAAAAAAAUCACAAGCUAACAAGUGACAUGUAAAAAAACGAUGUUAAUAUUGUUUGUAUAUGACUAGAGCUUUUCCCGCUACACGUCCCUAUUCUCAUCUUGCACCCCCAUAAUUACCUUAAUACCCAUCCACUUACACACGGUUCAGUAGCAUUAAUGGAAGUUAAUGAUGGUAUUAAUGAUUAAUUCCUUUUUCACCAACCAAUUGAAUGAAUUUAGUAUAUAUACCUGUACCCCCCAUAUUUUCUUCACACACUGCAAGGUACUCACAUUUUGCUAUGUUUUUCUUUGGUUUUUUCUUGUCUCUCGUUAUGUUGCUUGUGGUUCCUAUGGUGGUUGGUGGUUGGGGUGGUGGUCUCGGUGUGCUAUUGGUGGUUGUCCAGUGGUGGUGUUGUCUCUGGUGGUGUGUGGUGUUGUGCACUGCAAAAGGUAAGUUAUAAGUUAGAAAUCCUAACCGGACAUCGAAGUUUGAUUAUAACCUCACCGACAUUCGAACGCCGGUUGAGGGCUACGGUAG